rnacentral:rRNA from 1 species
UUCAUGUCUGGAAGUAAUAGCCCGAAAGGGGUACGUAAUACCGGAUAUUCUUUGCUUUUCUAUAAGUUAUAGCAAGCAAAGGUGGCCGUCUGCAUAUGCUACUGCAUGAAGAGGGGUCGUGCGUACCAUUAGCUAGUAGGUGGGGUAAUGGCCUACCUAGGCGACGAUGGUUAGCGGGUCUGAGAGGAUGAUCCGCCACACUGGCACUGGAACACGGGCCAGACUCCUACGGGAGGCAGCAGUGAGGAAUAUUGCGCAAUGGGGGAAACCCUGACGCAGCGACGCCGCGUGAGUGAAGGAAGGCCUUCGGGUCGUAAAGCUCUGUCAAGAGGAAAGAAGUGUACAAUGGCUAAUACCUGUUGUAUUUGACGGUACCUCUAAAGGAAGCACCGGCUAACUCCGUGCCAGCCGCAGC